rnacentral:rRNA from 1 species
GAUCCUGGCUCAGAAUCAACGCUGGCGGCGUGCCUCAGACAUGCAAGUCGAACGAUUAAAGCCCUCUUCGGAGGGUGUAUAGAGUGGCGCACGGGUGAGUAACACGUAAGUAAUCUACCCUCGAGUGGGGAAUAACAGUCGGAAACGACUGCUAAUACCGCAUAAUGCAGCGGCACCGCAAGGUGACAGUUGUUAAAGAUUUAUUGCUUGAGGAGGAGCUUGCGGCAGAUUAGCUAGUUGGUAAGGUAAUGGCUUACCAAGGCAACGAUCUGUAGCCGGUCUAAGAGGACGGUCGGUCACACUGACACUGAAUAACGGGUCAGACUCCUACGGGAGGCAGCAGUCGGGAAUUUUGGGCAAUGGGCGAAAGCCUGACCCAGCAACGCCGCGUGAAGGAUGAAGUAUUUCGGUAUGUAAGCUUCGAAAGAAUAGGAAGAAUAAAUGACGGUACUAUUUAUAAGGUCCGGCUAACUACGUGCCAGCAGCCGCGGUAAUACGUAGGGACCAAGCGUUGUUCGGAUUUACUGGGCGUAAAGGGCGCGUAGGCGGCAUGACAAGUCACUUGUGAAAUCUCCGGGCUUAACUCGGAACGGCCAAGUGAUACUGUCGCGCUAGAGUGCAGAAGGGGCAAUCGGAAUUCUUGGUGUAGCGGUGAAAUGCGUAGAUAUCAAGAGGAACACCUGAGGUGAA